rnacentral:rRNA from 1 species
UCCCUUACUCCUACGGGAGGCAGCAGUAGGGAAUCUUCCACAAUGGGCGAAAGCCUGAUGGAGCAACGCCGCGUGUGUGAUGAAGGGUUUCGGCUCGUAAAACACUGUUGUAAGAGAAGAAUGACAUUGAGAGUAACUGUUCAAUGUGUGACGGUUCUACCAGAAAUGAACAG